rnacentral:rRNA from 1 species
AGUGAACGCUGGCGGUAGGCCUAACACAUGCAAGUCGAACGGCAGCACAGUAAGAGCUUGCUCUUACGGGUGGCGAGUGGCGGACGGGUGAGGAAUACAUCGGAAUCUACUUUUUCGUGGGGGAUAACGUAGGGAUACUUACGCUAAUACCGCAUACGACCUACGGGUGAAAGCAGGGGAUCUUCGGACCUUGCGCGAUUGAAUGAGCCGAUGUCGGAUUAGCUAGUUGGCGGGGUAAAGGCCCACCAAGGCGACGAUCCGUAGCUGGUCUGAGAGGAUGAUCAGCCACACUGGAACUGAGACACGGUCCAGACUCCUACGGGAGGCAGCAGUGGGGAAUAUUGGACAAUGGGCGCAAGCCUGAUCCAGCCAUACCGCGUGGGUGAAGAAGGCCUUCGGGUUGUAAAGCCCUUUUGUUGGGAAAGAAAAGCAGCAGGUUAAGACCCCGCUGUUCUGACGGUACCCAAAGAAUAAGCACCGGCUAACUUCGU